rnacentral:ncRNA from 5 species
UACAGAGGGUGCAAGCGUUAAUCGGAAUUACUGGGCGUAAAGCGCGCGUAGGUGGUUUGUUAAGUUGGAUGUGAAAUCCCCGGGCUCAACCUGGGAACUGCAUUCAAAACUGACUGACUAGAGUAUGGUAGAGGGUGGUGGAAUUUCCUGUGUAGCGGUGAAAUGCGUAGAUAUAGGAAGGAACACCAGUGGCGAAGGCGACCACCUGGACUAAUACUGACACUGAGGUGCGAAAGCGUGGGGAGCAAACAGG